rnacentral:tRNA from 1 species
CGGGGCGUAGCGCAGCCAGGUUAGCGCGCCUGCCUUGGGAGCAGGAGGUCGCCGGUUCAAAUCCGGCCGCCCCGACCA